rnacentral:lncRNA from 10 species
UUCAUGCAGUCACCCUCUGAUAUGGUUUGGCUGUGUCCACACCAUAUCUCAACUUGAAUUGUAUCUCCCAGGAUUCCUGCAUGUUGUGGGAGGGACCCAGUGGGAGGUAACGGAAUCACGGGGGCUGGUCUUUCCUGUGCUAGUCUCGUGAUAGUGAAUAAAUCUCACGAGAUCUGAUGGGUUUAUCCGGUGUUUCUGCUUUUGCUUCCUCCUCAUUUUUCUCUUGCUGCCACCACGUGAGAAGUGCCUUUCGCCUCCCGCCAUGAUUCUGAGGCCUCCCUAGCCAUGGGGACCUGUCGUCGCUGCCCUCAGCCUCCAGAUGCAGCCCCCCUGCCACCUUCAGGACCCCUGGCUCUCCCCUGGACUCAGUAGCGAAAGGGUUUAUGUGCUCGGAGGGAGACCUUCAGGAAUCUGUGCAUAGAAUGCCAUAGUGCAGAGGAAACAGCCCCAGAAAAUGGAACAGCUGCUAAGUGAGACUCCUCAGCCAGGCCAGAGAAUGUGCAUUCUGACGGACUGCUUCUCAUUUGCACUGAUCACUGUCUUCUUUCUGAAACCAGCCCAACUUUUCUCCCAGAGAGUAUCAUGGAACUGAACUUUCAAGAUCAUGGCAUCUGGACAUCGAGAAAACAGAACCCUCAUCUGGCCACCUGCUGCUUUUUGACCAAUUCCCAUAUAAACCGCUAACUUCAGUCAGUUGGAGGGAUGGAUUUGAGAUUUGCCUUCUGUCUCUCAGGUGAUGUCACCAGCAAUAAAGCCUUCUUCCCUGGCAAUACU